ensembl:lncRNA
CAAAGACUCCACAAGCUGGGCUUCAUGUUGGAAUCUAGAGCCUUUCUGUUAGUAACCACUACUUUUCACUGCCUGAAAAGAUGUACGAGCGACACAAGCGGAGGUAUAGUCUGCGUGGAAAGGGGGAGAGAGCAGUGGAUGUCGUUUUGAUAAAGAUCCACACAGAGAAGGAGACAUUCUACCCGGUCCAGCCCUGCUCAGAGCCCACAAUACAGGAAACAUCCACCAUCCCAGAAUGCACAGAAUGCCCAGAGACCCCAUGCUCCGACAGUGUUGGAGGGUCAGUGUGUGGAGGCCUGCCAGACUCAGUCAGUGAUGCCGACAGUCUGAUCAGUGCAGAGCUGGGAGAGGACAGCGUCUUCAGAAAGGGAGAGGAGGCUGUGACUGGGCAAAGGGAC